rnacentral:tRNA from 1 species
GUCUCCUGUAGCUCAGUGGUAGAGCAUCUGACCGGUGUGCAGAAGGUCAUAGGUUCGACUCCUUUUAGGCACU